rnacentral:rRNA from 1 species
UACGUAGGGCGCAAGCGUUGUCCGGAAUUAUUGGGCGUAAAGAGCUCGUAGGCGGCUUGUCACGUCGGGUGUGAAAGCCCGGGGCUUAACCCCGGGUCUGCAUUCGAUACGGGCUGGCUAGAGUGUGGUAGGGGAGAUCGGAAUUCCUGGUGUAGCGGUGAAAUGCGCAGAUAUCAGGAGGAACACCGGUGGCGAAGGCGGAUCUCUGGGCCGUAACUGACGCUGAGGAGCGAAAGCAUGGGGAGCGAACAGG